AUCCUGGGGCUGGAGCAGGUCCCAAGGGUUGGGCUGUUCGCCCAUUAAAGCGGCACGCGAGCUGGGUUUAGAACGUCGUGAGACAGUUCGGUCUCUAUCCGCCGCGCGCGUCAGAAGCUUGAGGAAACCUGUCCCUAGUACGAGAGGACCGGGACGGACGAACCUCUGGUGCACCAGUUGUCCCGCCAGGGGCACUGCUGGAUAGCCACGUUCGGACAGGAUAACCGCUGAAAGCAUCUAAGCGGGAAACCUUCUCCAAGACCAGGCUUCUCACCCAUUUAGUGGGAUAAGGCCCCCCGCAGAACACGGGAUCGAUAGACCAGACCUGCACACCCAGUAAUGGGCUCAGGGAACUGGCACUAACCGGCCGAAAACUUACCCACA
rnacentral:rRNA from 1 species